UACGUAGGGUGCAAGCGUUGUCCGGAAUUAUUGGGCGUAAAGAGCUCGUAGGCGGUUUGUCGCGUCUGCUGUGAAAACUCGGGGCUUAACCCCGGGCCUGCAGUGGGUACGGGCAGACUAGAGUGCGGUAGGGGAGACUGGAAUUCCUGGUGUAGCGGUGAAAUGCGCAGAUAUCAGGAGGAACACCUGUGGCGAAAGCGGCUCACUGGACCAUAACUGACGCUGAUGCACGAAAGCUAGGGGAGCAAACAGG
rnacentral:rRNA from 1 species